CCUGAACCAGCCAAGUAGCGUGAAGGAUGAAGGUCCUACGGAUUGUAAACUUCUUUUAUACGGGAAUAAAGUUUCCUACGUGUAGAAUUUUGUAUGUGCCGUAUGAAUAAUCAUCGGCUAACUCCGUGCCAGCAGCCGCGGUAAUACCGAGGAUGCGAGCGUUAUCCGGAUUUAUUGGGUUUAAAGGGAGCGCAGACGGGAGAUUAAGUCAGUUGUGAAAGUUUGCGG
rnacentral:rRNA from 1 species